rnacentral:rRNA from 1 species
CGUCGCCUUGGUAGGCCUUUACCCCACCAACUAGCUAAUCAGCCAUCGGCCAACCCUAUAGCGCGAGGCCCGAAGGUCCCCCGCUUUCAUCCGUAGAUCGUAUGCGGUAUUAAUCCGGCUUUCGCCGGGCUAUCCCCCACUACAGGACAUGUUCCGAUGUAUUACUCACCCGUUCGCCACUCGCCACCAGGUGCAAGCACCCGUGCUGCCGUUCGACUUGCAUGUGUAAGGCAUGCCGCCGC